AUUGAACGCUGGCGGCAGGCUUAACACAUGCAAGUCGAGCGGGGGAGGUUGCUUCGGUAACUGACCUAGCGGCGGACGGGUGAGUAAUGCUUAGGAAUCUGCCUAUUAGUGGGGGACAACAUUCCGAAAGGGAUGCUAAUACCGCAUACGCCCUACGGGGGAAAGCAGGGGAUCUUCGGACCUUGCGCUAAUAGAUGAGCCUAAGUCGGAUUAGCUAGUUGGUGGGGUAAAGGCCUACCAAGGCGACGAUCUGUAGCGGGUCUGAGAGGAUGAUCCGACACACUGGGACUGAGACACGGCCCAGACUCCUACGGGAGGCAGCAGUGGGGAAUAUUGGACAAUGGGCGGAAGCCUGAUCCAGCCAUGCCGCGUGUGUGAAGAAGGCCUUUUGGUUGUAAAGCACUUUAAGCGAGGAGGAGGCUCUUAAGGUUAAUACCCUUGAUGAGUGGACGUUACUCGCAGAAUAAGCACCGGCUAACUCUGUGCCAGCCGCCGCGGUAAAAC
rnacentral:rRNA from 1 species